UUUAAUUACCGUAUGCUAAUUUCCUUGCCUACUACGUGAUUAAUUAAAAUCAUAUUUUCAUAAUCAUUUGGCACUAGUAUUGUUUUAGAAUUAUCAUGAUCCCCUAAAUAGUGUAUGUAAAUAAAGUCGGCUCUAAUGGAAAGAAUCAAAAUGCAACGCUGAAGACCUUUAUGUGUUUGUAUGCAUGCGAUUGGCAACAUAACUGGCUUAUUUACAUUAAAUACGCCACAAGGUUACAGUGCAGAUCAACGUCACUUUAUCGCUGAUUACUUCUCUUAAACGCCGGAGCUGUGACUGAUGCUCCGGUCCCGGUGUCCACCAAGAUUUACCCUGGAGUUUUUAAAAGAAACAGACUUGAAAUAGUUUCAGGAGCAGCACAAGAAAAUGAUCAAGUCAAUCAUGUGGACAUGCUUCAUUAUUCAUUGAACACAAUCUUUUACAACGCUUCGUUUACGUGCAGGAGUUUCUUCUACGCUUUGCUUUAAAUUGUAAGCUCCUGCUGACAACCACAAACCUGGUACUCAAAGGAGUUGUAUUUUCUGAGAAGUCU
ensembl:lncRNA